UCCUCGGUCGAAGAAUCGCAACGAAGCACACGCACAGAGCGCAUUUACGGCGUCUCUUCCCUCCAAUGCUUUGGGAGAAAGUCCCCGGACAACGAUCUUCACGAUCGCACUUUUAGCAACGAACCGCCAUAGAAGCUGCGGCUUCCAUCACCGACUACGGCACUUCUCCGCAUCUCCUCAUCGCUUUUACUCGAAUUCCACUGGCGUUCUCGACGCUGCGAGUGGAGGGGCUGGCACCUGGAUGAUGACAUGAGUCCGUUGGCUACCUUGCUUGCAUGCCGAGGGUCGCAACAGAGAAUCGAGGAGUUGGGAGAUGAUGGACAGUGCUAGGUAUGGAGGGUCUUCUCGUCCAGUUUAUGGUUAUGCGAUUGCCUUUCCUGCGCUUUGGUAAAACAAGGUGGGCUGGAGGGUAACUCAAUGGGGCUUAUUCUCGAGGCGAGG
rfam:Cochliobolus heterostrophus C5 unplaced genomic scaffold COCHEscaffold_1, whole genome shotgun sequence.